UACGAAGGGGGCUAGCGUUGUUCGGAUUUACUGGGCGUAAAGCGCACGUAGGCGGAUUGUUAAGUCAGGGGUGAAAUCCCGGAGCUCAACUCCGGAACAGCCUUUGAUACUGGCAAUCUUGAGGCUGGAAGAGGUUAGUGGAAUUCCCAGUGUAGAGGUGAAAUUCGUAGAUAUUGGGAAGAACACCAGUGGCGAAGGCGGCUAACUGGUCCAGAUCUGACGCUGAGGUGCGAAAGCGUGGGGAGCAAACAGG
rnacentral:rRNA from 1 species